rnacentral:rRNA from 1 species
CUGGGAGGACCAUCUCCUAAGGCUAAAUACUCUCUAGUGACCGAUAGUGAACCAGUACCGUGAGGGAAAGGUGAAAAGCACCCCGGAAGGGGAGUGAAAUAGAACCUGAAACCGUGUGCUUACAAGUAGUCAGAGCCCGUUAAUGGGUGAUGGCGUGCCUUUUGUAGAAUGAACCGGCGAGUUACGAUUUGAUGCAAGGUUAAGCAGUAAAUGUGGAGCCGUAGCGAAAGCGAGUCUGAAUAGGGCGUUUAGUAUUUGGUCGUAGACCCGAAACCAGGUGAUCUACCCUUGGUCAGGUUGAAGUUCAGGUAACACUGAAUGGAGGACCGAACCGACUUACGUUGAAAAGUGAGCGGAUGAACUGAGGGUAGCGGAGAAAUUCCAAUCGAACCUGGAGAUAGCUGGUUCUCUCCGAAAUAGCUUUAGGGCUAGCCUCAAGUGAUGAUUAUUGGAGGUAGAGCACUGUUUGGACGAGGGGCCCCUCUCGGGUUACCGAAUUCAGACAAACUCCGAAUGCCAAUUAAUUUAACUUGGGAGUCAGAACAUGGGUGAUAAGGUCCGUGUUCGAAAGGGAAACAGCCCAGACCACCAGCUAAGGUCCCAAAAUAUAUGUUAAGUGGAAAAGGAUGUGGCGUUGCCCAGACAACUAGGAUGUUGGCUUAGAAGCAGCCAUCAUUUAAAGAGUGCGUAAUAGCUCACUAGUCGAGUGACACUGCGCCGAAAAUGUACCGGGGCUAAACAUAUUACCGAAGCUGUGGAUUGUCCUUUGGACAAUGGUAGGAGAGCGUUCUAAGGGCGUUGAAGCAUGAUCGUAAGGACAUGUGGAGCGCUUAGAAGUGAGAAUGCCGGUGUGAGUAGCGAAAGACGGGUGAGAAUCCCGUCCACCGAUUGACUAAGGUUUCCAGAGGAAGGCUCGUCCGCUCUGGGUUAGUCGGGUCCUAAGCUGAGGCCGACAGGCGUAGGCGAUGGAUAACAGGUUGAUAUUCCUGUACCACCUAUAAUCGUUUUAAUCGA